rnacentral:rRNA from 1 species
GACGAACGCUGGCGGCGUGCCUAAUACAUGCAAGUUGAGCGCUGAAGUUUGGUACUUGUACCAACGGGAUGAGCAGCGAACGGGUGAGUAACGCGUGGGGAAUCUGCCUUUGAGCGGGGGACAACAUUUGGAAACGAAUGCUAAUACCGCAUAAAAACUUUAAACACAAGUUUUAAGUUUGAAAGAUGCAAUUGCAUCACUCAAAGAUGAUCCCGCGUUGUAUUAGCUAGUUGGUGAGGUAAAGGCGCACCAAGGCGAUGAUACAUAGCCGACCUGAGAGGGGGAGCGGCAACACGGGAACUGAGACACGGUCCAGACCACUACGGGAGGCAGCAGUAGGGAAUCUUCCGCAAUGGGCGAAAGCCUGACGGAGCAACGCGGCGUGAGUGAUGAAGGUCUUCGGAUCGUAAAACUCUGUUAUUAGGGAAGAACAAAUGUGUAAGUAACUGUGCACGUCUUGACGGUACCUAAUCAGAAAGCCACGGCUAACUACGUG